CUUUCUUUUAUGCCAUCUCCUUUUUUAAAAAAAUUGUGGUAUAAUGUAUAGUAAAAUGAACAGAUCAGUUUUGACAGUUAUGUAUAUUUGUAUAAUCCAUACCCCUGUUAAGACAGGUUACAUUGCCAUCACCCCCCAAAGGAUGUUUAUUCCCGAUAAACUACCCCCAUAAUCAACAACUGUUUGGAUUUUAUCACCAUAGACUAGCUUUGCUUAUUCUAGAAUUUCAAAUAAAUGAAGUCAUGCAUUAUGAACUCCCUCACUGAAUGCAAUGUUUAUGAGGUCCAUCAUGUUUUUGCAUGUCUCAGCAGUUCAUUUUUUAUUGUUAAAUAAUAUUCUAUUGUAUGGAUGUACCAUUAUUAAUUUAUCCAUUCUCUUACAAAUGAUUACAUGUGUUAAUUCUAGUUUUCAACUAUUUAUGGAUCAAGCUGCUUUAAAUGUUCAUGUACAGGGUUUUUCUUUGUGAACUCACACUUUCAUUUAUCAUGUAUUGAUAUGUGGAAGUGGAAUUAUUAGAUCCUAAGGUAGAUGCAGGGUUUUUUUGUUUGUUUGUUUGUUUGUUUUUAGAAACUGCCAAAUCAUUUCCCAAGACGUUAGUACAAUUUUUAAACUCCUUAGGUAUCUAUUAUUGCAUAGCAAAUAGAGAUGCUACUUGACUUACAAUGGAGUUACAACAUGAUAAACCCAUCAUAAGUCCAGAUGUUCCUGAACUAACGAGUUACAGCAUGAUAAAUCCAUUAUAAAGUCAAAAAAUUGUAAAUCAAAGUACAAUAAGUUGGGGACCAUCCAUAAUUUGAAAACAUGAAGGUUUUAAACAAAGCACAUCUAUUGUCUCAGAGUUUCUGAGGAUCUUGAAUCCAGGCAUGGCUUAGCUCUGUCCUCUGCUUCAGGGUAUCUCACUAGACAGCACUCAAUUUUUCAUCUGGGGCUGUAGUCUCAUCAGAAGGCUCUACUAGGGAAGGAUCUGCUUCUAAGUUAACUCGUGUGUCUCUUGGCAGAAUUCAGUUCCUCAAAGGCCUCUAGAGAGAGGGCUGCAGUUCUUUGUUGCCACUGGUCAGAGGAUACUUUCAUUUUCUUGCCAUGUGAGUGUCACCAGCCAGUGUCAUCAGGGCAAGCACUCAAGAAGAGCCAGAGAGUACAAGCAAGAUGGAAAUCACAAUCAUGUAUAACCUGAUCUUGGAAGUGACAGUUCACCACUUAUGCUUUAUUCAAUUGAUUAGAUGCAAGUCACUAGGUUCAUCCCACACUCAAGUGGAGGAGAUUUUGCAAGAAUGUGAAUGCCAGGUGGAUGGGAUUGUUGGAAGCCUUGUCAGGAGCAGCCUUCCACAAUCAGCCCUCUGGCCUCCAAUGAUUUGUGUUUCUCCCCAUGUGAAAUACACUCUCUUUCUUUCAAGAUUGCCAAAAGUCAUUCCAUUACAGCAUCAGCUCAAAGUCUAGAAUUCUAUCAUCAGAAACAGUUUCAUGUGUGAAGGAGGCUCCUCUGGUGUACUUCCUGUGUAUAGCUUUCCUCCAUGUUUAGAUCUUUAUUUAUUCCUUCUUUGGCACUCUUCCUUUGUUACGCAGAUUUGAGUUUCUGAACUUUAUCACCUUCCUUUUCCGUGAGGAACUUCUUUUAAUAUUUUCUUACAGGGAAGGUCUGAUGGUGAUUAUUUCCCUCAGCAUUUGUCUGAGGAAGUCUUUAUUUCUCAAGUUUGUAUUUUUUUUCUUUAUUUUAGCAUUUAAAUACUUCACUCCAGUCUUCUUGCUUCUGUGUUUCUGAUGGGAAGUCUAAUUUAAUUCUUGUCCUGUUUUGCUGUAAGUCAGGUUACUUUUUCUCUGACUCCUUUGAAGAUUUUCUUUUUGUCUUUGGUUUUCUGAAGUUUGUGUAUAAUUGUUUUGGUAUUUCUCCUGUUUACUGUUCUCUACUUCUUGACUUGUGAUUUGCUGUGGUUAAUUUGGGAAAAUCCUCUGACAGUGUUACUUCAAAUAUUUCUUUAGUUUCUUGUUCUUGUUCUUCUCCUUCUGGUAUUCCAAAUAGAUGUAUAUUAUACUUUCGAAAUUAUUUCUGUUGACUUAUCUUCAAGCUUACUCAUUCUUUCCUCAAACUUGUUCUGUUGAUGAACCUAUUGAAGACAUUCUUUAUUUAUGUCAGUGAUUUUUAUUAUUUCUAGCAUUUCCUUUUGAUUGUUUCCUAGAGUUUCCAUCACUCUUCUUACAUUACACAUCUAUUUUUGCAUGUUGACUGUUUCCUCCAUUAGAGUCUUUAAAAUCUAAAACAGUUAUUUUAAAUUCUCUAUCUGAUAAUUUCCAAAUUUGUGUCAAAUCUGAGUCUGGUUCUGAUGCUUGCUUUGUCUUUCUGACUUGUUUUUUCUUGCUUUUUUUCAUACCUUAAAAUUUUCCAUUAAAACCCAUACAUAAUAUAUUGAAGAGUAAUCAGUGAGGCAAACAGGCCUUUAGUGAGCAUUUUUUGUUGUUAUUAUUAAUCUGGCUGAGAAUCAAGCUAUAUAUAAUGUUUGCUGUAGAUGUAGGUAGCGGUGGCUUCAAAUUCCUCUAGUAUCCUUAUUUUGUCUCCACUCUUGACUUUGGGCAUCCUUAUAUACUCCUCCACAGAGAGUCUGUGUUUUCUGGCUCUUUUAGGUGUAAUCCACAGUUACAUUGGAGCCCUGUUAGUGUGGUGAGAAGGUUGGCAUAGGGGAAGUAUUCUAUACUCUUAUGAUUACAUCACAGUCUUUUAGGGGGUCCAUGUCCCUUACAAGCAUUUCUUAGCUUUGCUUCUCCCCUUACAAGGAACAGGAAGGAUAUUGGUGCCCAGAGUGUGAAAAGUGACCUUACCUCAAGUGGGAUAAGUCUCUGCUAAAGGUUUUAUCCCUCACUGGAGGGUAGGUCUUUGUUAUGGAGAAUAUUCUGGGUAUAUUUCACAAUAACUUCUCUUCCAUGCGCCCCACAUGACCAUGAUGGCAUUUUCUCAACUCUUUACUGUGAGAGCUUGGUGGGGCUUCUGGAGGUAAAAUCCACAACUGUGUGGGAUUCCAAGAGUGUGACCCCAGGAGUUUAUCACUCUCACGCAACUCCACACUAGCGCUCCGGAAAAUCAUCAGCAUUACCACUGAAGUGCUACCAAGAGUUUGUUUCUAGUGGUUUCUGCACCGGGUAAACAGAUCUCAGCUGUGACUCCCCUAAUUCAUCUAUCUUUGCAGAUUUCUGGGUGGCUGUUUGCUGUAGGAACUUCAUUCUCAUUUGGAUACACGAAUUGUCACUGAUUUUCAGUUCACUCAGGUUCUUCUUGUGGUAAGAGUGGAAGCAAUGACUUUUAAGAACUUUACACAUUGGAGUUAAAGCCAGAUGUCUCUUAAUGUACCUUUUUUUGACCUUAUGCUCUCCUGUUUUAUUCUUCCCUCACUUUAUGGCUCUUCUAUCAUGCUAUAAGCAGCAAGAGAAAAAUAGUGUCUUCCCCACUGCCCAGAAAUCUCCUUAGCCAUGUAGCCAAGUCUAUCAGGUAUAUCUUCUGUUUUCAGCAUAACUGCAGACCACAUUAGCACUAGGCUUUUGUCAUAUCAUAAUAAACAUCUCUCUUCCAAUGAGAUCACAGGGAGCCAUCUCAGAAUCAGCCUACUAUAACUCCCAUCACUAUUUUAUAUGAUUAAUACAAAGGCCAGUAAAUUCAGUGCCAUGUGGCCAGCUUUACUAAUAAAUCAUAUUUUUGAUGGUAAAAUCUGUAGCUUAC
rnacentral:lncRNA from 10 species